GCCAAGGAGUCUAACAUGUGCGCAAGUCAUUGGGUGAUAAAACCCAAAGGCAUAACGAAAGUAAAGAAAGCUUUGCUUUAUUAGGGAGGAUAGUUAUUUAACUUUUAAGUUAAUGACUCGCACUCCCAGGGCGUUUGUUACUCAUUGCGAGUAAAAGCGCACCUAGAGCGUACACGUUGGGACCCGAAAGAUGGUGAACUAUGCCUGGCCAGGAUGAAGCCAGGGGAAACCCUGGUGGAGGUCCGUAGCGAUUCUGACGUGCAAAUCGAUCGUCAGAGCUUGGUAUAGGUGCGAAAGACUUAUCGAACUAUCUAGUAGCUGGUUCCUUCCGAAGUUUCCCUCAGGAUAGCUGGUGCCAAUGAUGAGACGAGUCUCAUCCGGUAAAGCGAAUGAUUAGAGGCCUUGGGGCCGAAACGACCUCAACCUAUUCUCAAACUUUAAAUGGAUGAGAGCCUUAGCUUGCUUAAAAGUGAAGCUAGGGACUUGGAUCAAGGUGUCAAGUGGGCCAAUUUUG
rnacentral:rRNA from 1 species